rnacentral:rRNA from 1 species
ACCCGCACAAGCAGAGGAGCGCAUGGUUUAAUUCGACGGCAAUCGAAGAACCUUUACCAGGGUUUGAAAUGUAUCUGCAUGCCCUAUGAAAUAGGGAGGCCUUCGAGGGUGAUACACAGGUGCUGCAUGGCCGCCGUCAGCUCGUGUCGUGAGAUGUUGGGUUAAGUCCCGCAACGAGCGCAACCCCUACGUUUAGUUGCUAACGCGUGAAGGCGAGCACUCUAGACGAACUGCCGUUGACAAAACGGAGGAAGGUGGGGAUGACGUCAAAUCAUCAUGCCCCUUAUGUUCUGGGCUACACACGUGCUACAAUGGCCGGUACAGACGGACGCAAAGCCGCGAGGUGGAGCAAAUCCUAAAAAGCCGGUCUCAGUUCGGAUUGCAGGCUGCAAUUCGCCUGCAUGAAGUCGGAAUCGCUAGUAAUCGCAGGUCAGCAUACUGCGGUCGAAUACGUUCCGGGCCUU